rnacentral:lncRNA from 1 species
UCUGGUCGCCGCCAUUGCCGCUGUGGUGGCGGCGUUGUUGCUGCUGUUGUUCUCUGCUGCCACUGAGAGUCUCACCGGAGACGAAACCGGGUGGGAGUGGUGUAAGGGGGAGCAUGAGGUGUUGUGGGUGUGCGGUUGCCGGUGAACAGGAAGGCGGAGCUAGAUGAAGAUGAUGAAUUCUAGUGUAUGGAUCUUGAAUUUUGGGGAAAAUUGAAUAUGGAAUAUGGAUCUGUUAUUUGAAGAUGAUGAUGGAUCUGGGUUAUUUGAAGAUGAUGAUGAUAAUUUGAUUUUAUAA